rnacentral:rRNA from 1 species
UACGAAGGGGGCUAGCGUUGUUCGGAUUUACUGGGCGUAAAGCGCACGUAGGCGGACAGUUUAGUCAGAGGUGAAAGCCCAGGGCUCAACCUUGGAAUUGCCUUUGAUACUGGCUGUCUUGAGUUCGGGAGAGGUGAGUGGAAUGCCGAGUGUAGAGGUGAAAUUCGUAGAUAUUCGGCGGAACACCAGUGGCGAAGGCGACUCACUGGCCCGAUACUGACGCUGAGGCGCGAAAGCGUGGGGAGCAAACAGG